rnacentral:rRNA from 1 species
GCAGUCGAGCGAAUGGAUUAAGAGCUUGCUCUUAUGAAGUUAGCGGCGGACGGGUGAGUAACACGUGGGUAACCUGCCCAUAAGACUGGGAUAACUCCGGGAAACCGGGGCUAAUACCGGAUAACAUUUUGAACCGCAUGGUUCGAAAUUGAAAGGCGGCUUCGGCUGUCACUUAUGGAUGGACCCGCGUCGCAUUAGCUAGUUGGUGAGGUAACGGCUCACCAAGGCAACGAUGCGUAGCCGACCUGAGAGGGUGAUCGGCCACACUGGGACUGAGACACGGCCCAGACUCCUACGGGAGGCAGCAGUAGGGAAUCUUCCGCAAUGGACGAAAGUCUGACGGAGCAACGCCGCGUGAGUGAUGAAGGCUUUCGGGUCGUAAAACUCUGUUGUUAGGGAAGAACAAGUGCUAGUUGAAUAAGCUGGCACCUUGACGGUACCUAACCAGAAAGCCACGGCUAACUACGUGCCAGCAGCCGCGGUAAUACGUAGGUGGCAAGCGUUAUCCGGAAUUAUUGGGCGUAAAGCGCGCGCAGGUGGUUUCUUAAGUCUGAUGUGAAAGCCCACGGCUCAACCGUGGAGGGUCAUUGGAAACUGGGAGACUUGAGUGCAGAAGAGGAAAGUGGAAUUCCAUGUGUAGCGGUGAAAUGCGUAGAGAUAU